ACGGAAGGCAGCAGUGGGGAAUAUUGCACAAUGGGCGCAAGCCUGAUGCAGCGAUGCCGCGUGAGGGAAGAAGGUUUUCGGAUUGUAAACCUCUGUCAACAGGGACGAAAAUGACGGUACCUGUGAAGGAAGCUCCGGCUAACUACGUGCCAGCAGCCGCGGUAAUACGUAGGGAGCAAGCGUUAUCCGGAAUUACUGGGUGUAAGGGGAGUGUAGGCGGGACUGUAAGUCAGAUGUGAAAUAUGCCGGUUCAACUGGCAGACUGCAUUUGAAACUGCGGUUCUUGAGUGAAGUAGAGGUAAGCGGAAUUCCUAGUGUAGCGGUGAAAUGCGUAGAUAUUAGGAGGAACAUCAGUGGCGAAGGUGGCUUACUGGGCUUUAACUGACGCUGAGGCUCGAAAGCGUGGGGAGCAAACAGGAUUAGAUACCCUGGUA
rnacentral:rRNA from 1 species